rfam:Treponema maltophilum ATCC 51939 genomic scaffold aczIZ-supercont-complete, whole genome shotgun sequence.
CUUUUUAUGCCGAGUUUGCCUUUCGGCAAACAUCGUUUUAUUUACUGCGCUUUCUCAACUGACGUUUGCGAAAGCGCGGCUAAAAACUUUUUCGGGAAUUGACAUUCCCUGCAAAAGUUUUUAUAGGA